rnacentral:misc_RNA from 1 species
GAAAUGCGAUAAUUAAUGUGAAUUGCAGAAUUCAGUGAAUCAUCGAGUCUUUGAACGCACAUUGCGCCCCCUGGUAUUCCGGGGGGCAUGCCUGUCCGAGCGUCAUUGCUGCCCUCAAGCACGGCUUGUGUGUUGGGCUUCCGUCCCUGGCAACGGGGACGGGCCCAAAAGGCAGUGGCGGCACCAUGUCUGGUCCUCGAGCGUAUGGGGCUUUGUCACCCGCUCCCGUAGGUCCAGCUGGCAGCUAGCCUCGCAACCAAUCUCUUUAACCAGGUUGACCUCGGAUCAGGUAGGGAUACCCGCUGAACUUAAGC